GGACAAUGGAAAACUAGCACUGGGAGGAAGAAUCCAUCCUGCCUGGUUGGUCUGAUAGAUACUGAGGUGGCCGGAAGGCUGGGUUUUGUAAAGGGAAACCAAAAAACAACAACAAUGCUGAUUGCAAAGGAGGACAAUCCCCCUGAUCGCUGAAGGCCUGCCGUGAGAUUAAGGAGGUGUUCCCGGCGUGGGCGUAAUUAAACCCUCGGCUGGGUGGCUCCGUGGAACAUGCCAGCCUGCCACGCCCAGGACCGAAAGACGGGGUUCGAAGCAGCCCCCCUGCCCCCAUCGCCCCCAGCCUGUCUUGAUGAGGGGGAAAUGACUUAAGAAACCGAACACAGGUAAGUGAACAGGGGCUGAACCAAGACGCCCCACCCUGCAGGAGGGAUGGUGGUGUCGCUCUUAAACCCGCUCACAACUUGCCCAGACAAAAUCCGAACCAGCCGCAGUCCGCCUCCUCUUCGAGCGUGUUUUUUGGGGUGGGAUUCGCUCUUUGCUCCUGCUCACCCUUGCAAGGCAAAUCCCAGGACCCCCACAAAAAUCUCUGCCAAACAACAAGUGGUUAUUGUCGCUUUUUUAUUAAAACAGUAAUUAUUUUUCACAUUGGGUUUUCCGGUUCUAGCAACAGCCAGGCUCUUUGCCGAGAGAGCAAGCCGCCCCAGCGGGGCUCAAGAGAGAAGGGCCGGAGGGCCCAGCAGACCAGACCCCGGCUGAGAAGGGGCCGGCUCACCAGAGCACCCUCCGCAGCCGGUGCCUCUUUGCAGCUGGCCUGGUGUCUCCCUCUGCGCCGGGGCUUCAGGGCCCACUUUCACCCCCAUCCUGGGGGACCCCGAGAGGGGACUGGCAAAGGCCCACAGCUGUUGUGGGGAAAGAGAGAACUCAGCAGAGUCCCAAUCAGUUCCACACGCCGCCCAGGCACACACUCUCCUCCACACCCCUCCCCAGCGCUCCAAUAAAUAAAAAAAA